GGGAGUGGCAGCAGGCUCUCCGGUGGCUGAUCCUGUUCCCCGUUCUGAAGGUCAGGGGUCGCAGAAGCUAGGGCAUGUCAACCCCGGACUCAACUUGUUCCGCCAAAUGAUGGCAAGUUACCCCAAACAAAAGUCUUAGCAAUUGGAUUACGUCAACAUGUGUGUGUUUGAUGUCGCAUGUACUGUUCUUCAAAUGAACAUAACUGUUUAGGCAUGUUCUCAAUCCGACCCUUGACUGUAAUACUUGUGUUAUUAAAUAAUCUGCAACUUCA